ACAUUCGUAAAUUGAAAAUUCCACACAUCGAGCACAGCGAGAUGUGGGGAUGGGGGUUGUAAGAAAAUAACGUUGGGGGUAUUUCUGACUUGUCUUGCCUAUGGCGGGAUGAAAUGGAAAUACUUCUAAGGGAGAAUAUUUAGACGAAGUCUGGUUAGUCGAAAUUCCCUGGAAGGGGAUACCAUAGAUGGUGAUAGUCCAGUAGACGAAAAUCACUUCGUGCUCCUUGUUGUUUCUCUUGAGUACCAUCAGGCCAAGACAACCUGUUGGGAAACAGGCAGGACUAACCUGCCAAAGCUAAAUAUAAUCUGGUCACCGAUAGUGAACAAGUACCGUGAGGGAAAGGUGAAAAGUAGCCCAGUGAGGGCGGUGAAAUAGAACCUGAAACCAUUUGCCUACAAAGACUCAGAGCCGUCCUUCGCUCCUUGCUCCGCAAGGAGCUUCGGAACGAUAAACUCCAAAGAAUAUUGGGGCUUGCCAUUCCGUAGCUCUUUAUGAAGUAAAGAGCGAAGGAUGGUGAUGGGGUGCUUUUUGCAUAACGAGCCAACGAGUUUAUUUCUUCCUCAAGUCUAAAAGGUUUUACCUUGUAGGCAAAGUGAAAGCAAGGGUGAAAAGCCCGUAAGAGAAAGGAGUAAAACCCGAAGCCAAGCGAGCUUGCCAUGGCCAGGAUGAAUUCCGCCGAAAGGCGUAAGAAGGUCCGAACCCGUGAGUCGUGCAAUACUCUGGGAUGAGCUGUGGUAAGAAGUGAAAAGCUAAUCGAGCUUGGUAAUAGCUGGUUCUUCCCGAAAUAGUUUUGGGACUAGCCCUUCUGUUAGAUGCUGGGGGUAGAGCACUGGAAAGAAUAUCGUGGAUUUUUUCUAGAUAUUCUUACCAAACUCCGAAUACCAGCAAAAUAUACAGGAGGAGUCAGACUGUAGGGGCUAAGCUCUAUAGUCAAAAGGGGAACAGCCCAGAUCUUCAUCUAAGGUCCCUAAAUCUGAGCUAAGUGUUUUAUAAGGAAGUGGAAUUUCUUAGAUAGCUAGGAGGUUAGCUUAGAAGCAGCUAUCCUUUAAAAAGUGCGUAAUAGCUUACUAGCUAAGGAGUUCUGCGCCGAAGAUUUCCGGGACUCAAGCUCAGUACCGAAGAUAAGAUUGAGCGCAUAAAUUUUAUGUGCUCAAGGUAGGGAAGCGUCCCUAUUAGCAUUGAAGUUGAAUCGUAAGGUUCAGUGGAGCAAUAGGGAGUGAGAAUGUUGGCAUAAGUAAUCACAAUCCCGGUGAGAUACCGGGACACCGAAAACCCAAGGUUUCCUUGGCAAUGAAUAUCAGCCAAGGGUUAGGCGGUCCUUAGGGAAAGCCGAAAGGUGUACUUGAUGGAUAGCCGGUUAAUAUUCCGGCCCUUCAGCAUUUUUCUGAAGAGUGACGCAAUUUAGUAGCUUAGGCGAAUAAUUGGAUUUUCGUCUCUUGUUUAAUGGUCUUUUUUAAAAGAUCAAAGAGCAGGAGGGAAGCUUAUCUUCGGAUAGGCGAACCUAAGUGAGCAAGUUGCCCAGAAAAACUCUUAGGGUUAAAAGUGCUGGAUCCGUACCGUAAACCGACACAGGUGGGUUGGUGUAAUAGUACCAAGGUGAAUAGGUGAAAGCUCCUGAAGGAACUCGGCAAAAAAGUGGUCGUAACUUCGGGAUAAGAUCUGACGUCAAAAUUUUUGCGCAAGCAAAAAUUUAGGCGCCCGCAGCGAAAAUUUCUCUAGCGACUGUUUAUCAAAAACACAGGUCCCUGCUAACUCGUAAGAGGAUAUAUAGGGGCUGAGGCCUGACCAGUGCCGGAGUGUUAAUGUUGCCGGUCCAAGUACAUAAUUUAUUAUGUGCUCGGGCUGAGUGACUGAAGCCUCUGGUGAACGUCCGCGGUAACUCUGACCGUGUUAAAGUAGCGUAAUCCCUUGCCACGUAAGUUGUGGCCCGCAUGAAUGGCUUAACGACUAGAGAACUGUCUCCAGGAGCUGCCUGAUGAAAUCGCAAUAGGGGUGAAAAUGCCCUUUACCUGCGGCUAGACGGAAAGACCCCGGGAGCUUUACUAUAACCAAAUAUUGAAUUUUGGUGAUGAAUGCGUAGCGUAGGUGGGAGACUAUGAAAUCUGUCUUUCGGGAUGGAUGGAGUCGCCAAUGAAACACCACCCUUUUAUUGCCUUGGUUCUAAUCCCGCCUUUGGCGGGAAACAGUGUUUGGCGGGUAGUUUAAGUGGGGCGCUUUUCUCCUAAAAAGUAACGGAGAAGUCUAUAAGGUCGGCUAGCUCCGGAUGGAAAUCGGAGUGGUCCUGCAAAGGGAUAAGCCGGCUUAACUGCAAGGCGGAUAUGCCGCGCAGAUGGGAAACCAGAGCUUAGUGAACCGACCGUGGUUAGUAGAACUGCGGAGGAUAAUCAGCUAAAAGCUACCCCGGGGAUAACAGGCUAGUAGGGCCCGCGAGUCCAUAUCAACGGCUCUGUUCGGCACCUCGAUGUCGGCUCACCACAUCCUGGAGGUGAAGAAGCUUCCAAGGGUUUGGCUGUUCGCCAAUUAAAGUGGUUCGCGAGCUGGGUUCAAACCGUCGUGAGACAGGUUGGUCCCUAUCUACCGCAGGCGUUGAGUCUUGAGGAGAGUUGUCCCUAGUACGAGAGGACCGGGAUGAACUAACCUCUGGUUUACCAGUUGUCCUGCCCAGGGCAUUGCUGGGUAGCUAAGUUAGGAAAGGAUAAGAGCUGAAAGCAUAUAAAGCUCGAAGCCUACUCCAAGAUUAAGACUCUUACCUAGGUCAGAGACUAUGACCUUGAUAGGGUGCAGGUGUAAGUCCCGUAAGGGAUUGAGCCGAGCACUACUAAAUUAGGAUUUCUUUUGGC
rnacentral:rRNA from 1 species